GCGUGGAGGAUGACGCAUUUCGGUGUGUAAACUCCUUUUAUUAGGGAAGAUAAUGACGGUACCUAAUGAAUAAGCACCGGCUAACUCCGUGCCAGCAGCCGCGGUAAUACGGAGGGUGCAAGCGUUACUCGGAAUCACUGGGCGUAAAGGGUGCGUAGGCUGGCUUUUAAGUCAGAUGUGAAAUCCAAUGGCUCAACCAUUGAACUGCAUUUGAAACUGAAAGCCUAGAGUUCAGAAGGGGCAGAUGGAAUUAGUGGUGUAGGGGUAAAAUCCGUAGAUAUCACUAGGAAUAUCAAAAGCGAAGGCGAUCUGCUGGGAU
rnacentral:rRNA from 1 species